UUUAUUUUGCUUUGCUUUAUAUUAUUUGACAAUACAAUGAUAUAUGAUUUAUAGCACACUUGUUGCAGUUCCACUUUAAAUACCAAAGUUGGAUAUCAUAUGUUCCGGUAGUUAUUAUCUUGAUUUGAAUUGUUUCAGUAAAAGAAAUAUUAUAAGGAACAAACAUCCAAUUAGGAUUAGCCAGGUAUAAUACAAGAAAUAAUGAAACGAAAUAAGUACCUAAAAAGUAAUAAGAAAUCAUUUUUAUUAAGGAUACAAUUCGAAAUGAUGAUAGAUUAUAUACAUUUUACACUGUCAGUGUUGAUUUAGGACGAUCCAUCGGAAUGUUUAUUUACACACGGAUAUGAACAUUAUACCAUGGGAAAUCGUAGCACAUAAUAUUUAGACUCAAGUCGGAAACACUAUCCUGAAACGAUUAUUUUUCGUGUUAAACCUUGUGCUUCCACUGAUAAUAACCAGGAUGUUUAUUUACAAGAUUCUUAUCAUUACUUCAAACCAACGGACACUAGCCUAUGUUCCCAAAAUGUAAACAAAAAAAAAGAAAAUCAACUGAAAUUUAUUUUGUAAAUUAGGGCGCCAAUAUAAAUUGAAUUCAUAAGAAAGUGCUAACUACAAUAAACGCACUGGAAAGCUAUUUCGGAUAAAAUACAUCGGUUUUAGCGGACAUUAUUUAUGCAGAAUUACAGGAAAUCGUUAUUUGUUCUGGUCGUUUCUGAGCAUGGAUAUUUUUCGGAAGAGUUCGCAUGCUAGUUCCCACAUACUGGAUUCAGAUUCAUUGGUAAUGGAGGCCUUGUGUACUAUGCAAUACAAAGAAAACUACAUUCAUGUGUCAACAUUUGCUGUUAUUAACAGGGAUAUACACAGACCAUUGUGGAUUAUAAAUAAAAGUUGGAUCUUUAAAAGCGACCACGUUACCUAACUGGAAUAGUGUUUUCAAGUAGAUGUAUUUUCGUAUUACUUUGAAUAUUACAAAUAUAUGGACAUUUGUUUUCGUAAUGUGAAAUGAUAACGUUUCUCGAAAAUGUAAGGUCAGAAACAUUCAAUAAUUACAUUCUAACCAUAUCAAGUUGUGUAAGAUGUGCAAACAGUGACAAAAAAAAACCAUGAUGGAAUAUAUUGAAAAUCUUGUAAUCUUUCACAAUUUGUAAUUAUUUCUAUGAUGACUAAUGGCAAUACAUGCAAACAACAUGUAUUUUGUCUGUUUUCAGAAAGUUAAAUGCAAAAGGACUUGUAUUCUAUUUCACACAGUAUCAGUUACCUUGGACAUUCAGUUUUCUGAUACUUAUCAGAAUUUUACCCGUUAUAUUGGC